GGCUGUUCCCCUCUGGAGGUUAUCGACCUUCACACCUAGCGGGCCGCGGAGAAAUCCGUUGGCCCGAUUUUUUUGCCUCU
rnacentral:misc_RNA from 1 species